GAUGAACGCUAGCGGGAGGCCUAACACAUGCAAGCCGAGCGGUAUUUGUUCUUCGGAACAGAGAGAGCGGCGCACGGGUGCGGAACACGUGUGCAACCUGCCUUUAUCUGGGGGAUAGCCUUUCGAAAGGAAGAUUAAUACCCCAUAAUAUAUUGAGUGGCAUCAUUUGAUAUUUAAAACUCCGGUGGAUAGAGAUGGGCACGCGCAAGAUUAGAUAGUUGGUGAGGUAACGGCUCACCAAGUCAAUGAUCUUUAGGGGGCCUGAGAGGGUGAUCCCCCACACUGGUACUGAGACACGGACCAGACUCCUACGGGAGGCAGCAGUGAGGAAUAAUGGACAAGGGGUUAGCGCCUGAUCCAGCCAUCCCGCGUGAAGGACGACGGCCCUAUGGGUUGUAAACUUCUUUUGUAUAGGGAUAAACCUACUCUCGUGAGAGUAGCUGAAGGUACUAUACGAAUAAGCACCGGCUAACUCCGUG
rnacentral:rRNA from 1 species